GUCGGAAUAGUUUAAUAAAAAUGCUUAUUUUACACGUAAGAGAUAACCAUAGGUUUUUUGAUA
rnacentral:tRNA from 1 species